UAUGAUAACUCAUAGAACCUUGGUAUUUUCUUAUUGUUUGUGCUCCAUAUGAUUCCAACUCCAUACCAAGGAAAGAACAAUUAGCAUGUUAUUUUUUAGUGGUAUUGGAAAUUUUAAUUGCGACCUUGCUUUGCAUCCUCUAAUGCUUUUAUUUACUGUUUAGUGUAGGGAUAUGUGUCCUCAACAUGGCAAAGUAGGGAUUUUCAAUAACGAUGGGAAAAACUGAUGCAGGCUAAUGCAGGGGGUUCUGGCAUAGUUGAUGUAAGCUGAAGCAGGGGGUUCUGGCAUAGGAUAAGAAUUAGAUGGUAGGAAAUUCGCUUCUAUUUGUUUUCUUAAAAAUCUAUGUGAAUUUUCUACUCAUGAGAUUUUUUCUACUUGAAAGAAAGGGAGUUUGUAAUGCAGGGGCAAGUGGUUAAUUGUCCUGCAUCAGUUUGGAAUUUAGUUCUAUCAAUCAGUUUGUCGUUCUCUGGUUAAAUAGGUGAUGGAUUUUAAUUGAGCAGAAGAUAGAGUUCUAGAUGAAGGUCCUAAGUCGAACCAGAAGAUAGAGUGAAAUAAAAUUAUAUGAUAAACACUUUAGUUGAAGCAGAGCAACUUGCUGAACGUUCAAUCUGGAAAGAAUUGGUCUGAACUAUUAAGUUGUCAAAAUUCAAAAUUGGCUAAAACUUAAUUUGUAGUCUAACAUCGAUGUUCUGAACACAUCUUAAUGGUUCAAAUUGUGAUUUUGAUCAAUGGAUCAUAAAGAUUUGAUCACCCCUCCCCCUCCAAACAAAAAGACAAGGACAAAAAAUCAUCAGCCCAGUAGCUAUAUCUGUUUGUGCUAGCAGUUGUGGCUCACAAUAAAACCCUUAUUUAGAAGCUUACUGGUUUUGCAUUGAUUGCCUGCCAAAAUGUAUUAGCUGAAAAAAAAAAGUUCUCAAAUAUUCUUUUGCAAGGAAGGCAUUGUCAUGGAGAGCUGGAGAAUCUACACCAGGCUAUGUCAUGAUUGGAGUAAUACCUUGGUUAGUAUUGACAGCACGAGUGAGCAAGUUCCUUUGUCAGAGGCUACCAAAAUCCCUGCAUUUCUUCCACUCAUAGACCUUGGAGAUCUACGAACUACAUCAGUAAUUAGUAAUUGGCGUUAGAAGUUAGAAAGAUGCUUCCAGUAAUGCAAAGCCAGUUUUCUGAAAUGCGAGAUCUCUUGUUUUUGGUUGGGCGGCUGUGCCCUCAAAGCUUUAGAGAUUGCAAUCUCUCAGGCUUUGAUUGAUCUUCUUUGUGAUUUUGUUUUCUUGUUGUAUUCUUUUGUGGCUUUGCCGCCUUUUUAAAUAAAUUAUCAGUUACAAGAAAAAAUAAUAUUUGUUGGUUGUUUCACUUCUUUAACCAACCUGGAGUUGAAUAAGACUCCUUUAACCUCCUUGAAGAGAUUUUGUUUAUUUCUUCAUUUUGGUGGGUAUGGUGGCUUUAUUAUUAUUAUUUAUUAAAUCAACUUUGGUGAACUUUCACCAAUUCAACAGUAGACUUGAUAAUUUCAUAUGGCUUCUGAAAUUUUUAUAUUUGUAACAUCAGCAAAAAAAAAUUUCCCCUACUAGAAAGUAAUUUAUUCAAGCAUAUUGUAGGAAUCUUGCCAUUGCCAACAUAUUGGUUGGAUCUUCUUGUAAUGUUCCAAAAUUUAUUCCUUUGAUGAAUAAGAACAGGCAUUAGCGGAACUUAUCAUCUAUUUUUCUGUCCAUUGGUUUUGUCUAUCUCAUGAUAAGCAGGUCUUAAAUAUGCUUUGUUGCUGGGUCGAAGAUCCAAAUUCUGAGGCAUUCAAGUUGCACCUGCCAAGGAUUUUUUACUAUUUGUGGCUUGCAAAAGAUGGCAUGAAAAUGCAGGUUAUAAUGGCAGUCAAUUAUGGGACACUGCUUUCACUGUUCAGGCAAUAAUCUCAACUAGCCUUCUUGAGGAAUUUGGUCCAACUCUUAAGAAAGCGCAUGAGUACAUAAAGAAUUUGCAAGUUUCAUUAUAUUACUUUGGGAGCAGUAGUUUUCUACUCUCUCUC